rnacentral:rRNA from 1 species
CCUACGGGUGGCUGCAGUGAGGAAUAUUGGUCAAUGGACGCAAGUCUGAACCAGCCAUGCCGCGUGCAGGAUGACGGCUCUAUGAGUUGUAAACUUCUUUUGUACGAGGGUAAACCCCGAUACGUGUAUCUGUUUGAAUGUACCGUACGAAUAAGGAUCGGCUAACUCCGUGCCAGCCGCCGCGGUAAUACGGAGGAUCCGAGCGUUAUCCGGAUUUAUUGGGUUUAAAGGGUGCGUAGGUGGUUUGGUAAGUUAGUGGUGAAAUGUCGGGGCUCAACCCCAAAAUUGCCUCUAAUACUGUUGGACUAGAGAAUAGUUGGGGUAGGCGGAAUGUAUGGUGUAGCGGUGAAAUGCUUAGAGAUCA